GAUGAAUCCCGUACGUUGGCGGCUGUUUUAAACUGGGUGCUCGGCUAGGACCCUUUUGCCAGUAUGAAGCCGAUUUCAACGGUAACUGCAGAAAGCGUCAGCACGCUCAGCUCAUCACUGGAGUAACGUCUGUACAACGGGUGAGAUAAAACUCAACGCCUGACUGAAUCAUCCAUUCCCUUUUCGAUCCUACGCCAUACGUUAAACUUGAGGUAAUCUUGCUUUUGCUGUUCUAAAAUAAACACUGCUCUUAGCACACCCCACCCUUACAUGGCACACAAGUAUAUGACACACAACACAGGUCUUCUCAGGAGGCUGUGCCUACAGAGAGCAGCAGUUGCAGACUUCACCCCAGACCCAACACAUUUUGGGCUCCCACUUUCAACUAUUGAGGAGCUACAAUGUUUGUAGGAGACAUUAAAUAAUCCAGAUGAGAAGAAGAAUUUGACUGUUUUUCCUGGAAUGGUCGGAGACAAGACUCUUAAAGACACCGUGGGGUGGGUCCUGAAAAAAACAAUGAACUCUUCGUGGCGAG